UUUAAACGUCACGCAUCAUAUCAGCUAUGGACCAACUACGAAUGCUUGUUACAAUCACGCCACCUGACGCUACUCUAUAUUUUAACAUUAAACGACAGAGUAUAAAAGGUAAUACUGGUAUUCCAUUAAGGCAUAACGCAAUUUUUGUGCAAAUUUAAUUUUCAUUUUCACUUCGUUCCACUAAAACAAAACAAAUACCAAAAAUGGGCGCUGAAAAAGUAACCAUGAACAUCGUUGUUGUUGGACAAGUCCAAUCUGCCAAGGCCAUCAAAUCGGUCGCCAAAGCCAACAACCAAUUGAUGGUUGUGUCAUGGAUGUAAUUUUUUUUCUAUGAUGAACUGUUAAUUCAUAAUGUCCACAUCAAACUCAAACUAAAAAAUGCCAUAGCCCGAACAGUACAUAAUUUUAUAAUUUGUUGAUAAUUAUUAUAAUAUAUUGUAUUGACAUUACAAAAUAAAUCAGUCUCUUCCGUCAA